GAUGAACGCUGGCGGCGUGCCUAAUACAUGCAAGUCGAGCGAAUGGAUUAAGAGCUUGCUCUUAUGAAGUUAGCGGCGGACGGGUGAGUAACACGUGGGUAACCUGCCCAUAAGACUGGGAUAACUCCGGGAAACCGGGGCUAAUACCGGAUAACAUUUUGAACCGCAUGGUUCGAAAUUGAAAGGCGGCUUCGGCUGUCACUCAUGGAUGGACCCGCGUCGCAUUAGCUAGUUGGUGUGGUAACGGCUCACCAAGGCAACGAUGCGUAGCCGACCUGGGAGGGUGAUCGGCCACACUGGGACUGGGACACGGCCCAGACUCCUACGGGAGGCAGCAGUAGGGAAUCUUCCGCAAUGGACGAAAGUCUGACGGAGCAACGCCGCGUGAGUGAUGAAGGCUUUCGGGUCGUAAAACUCUGUUGUUAGGGAAGAACAAGUGCUAGUUGAAUAAGCUGGCACCUUGACGGUACCUAACCAGAAAGCCACGGCUAACUACGUGCCAGCCGCCGCGGUAA
rnacentral:rRNA from 1 species